rnacentral:lncRNA from 1 species
UUUAGGUGGUACCUAACACUACAGGGAGAUAACUCUGUAAAGUCAGCUUAACGUUUUAAUUACGUUGUGUUGUAAAGGGGAUAUUAAGCUUCUCAAUGAUCAAAAUUGGUGUUGUCAAACUGCUAUAUAACCAGUGUAAUUUUUCUGACAAAACGGUUGGUUUAAAAUUUUUGAAAUUUUUUAUAUUUUUGUUAAAGGGUCAAAGUAAAU